rnacentral:lncRNA from 1 species
AAAUAACCAAAAAAGACCUAGCCUCCCCUACCCCAACAUUACAUAUUUAUACCUCUCUCUCUCAUCCCUCCUGGCAGGCCCCACCUGCACGAUCCUCUCCCAUUAUUCUCUCAUCAUUGGUUGCUAAGGAAUUUCUCUUUCUACCCUUCCUUUUAUAGGUAUAGAUAAUAGGAGGUCUUACAAAGUAAUACCUGGCCUGACUUUCUUUAAUCUUUCUGCGAGAACCUUUCCAAACAACUUAUAAAUUAAUGUUGAAACAACUUAUGAGCCACACUGUAAUGACCUUCCUUCUCUUGACCGAACUUCAAUAAUCGACAACUUAUAUUUAUCCACAUAAUCAGCAAAACUCUUAAUUUGCCACUAGCUUCAAACAAAGACCCAGCCAAUUCCUUUUGAACUCCAUAGUGCCUUUAUAAUACAACUGGCAAUCUCUUCUCUUUUGGUCUCCGGAAUCAAUGCUCUAUCUGGAUUAGCUUUCUUCAAAAUAUUUUUAAUAGCCAAUUGUUUCGAAUAGCCCAUGAAUCCUCUAGUGUUCCAUGAUAUAAUCUCCAUCUUUGCUACCUCUGCCUUAUAUCAAUUCAAUUUCACAUGCUGCCAAGAAAGGAACCAACUCUUGAGGGGGAAGGAUACUUACACUGGUGACUGAUUCAACUUCCAUGAAUUCAUCUUCUAGGUUCUCAACUUUUUUUAGACAAGAAGUAUCUUGCACAAAAUUAAAGAAUGAACCAGAAAGUUUGGAGGAGGAUUGAGAAAAUUUAUUACUUAAGGAGGAAGGCAGUACUGACCUUUUGCCAACUGAAUUUGGAAUUUGUAUCUUCACACAACUUUCCUCUAAUAAAUCAGAAUUAGCCAAGCUCAUCCAAAUGUUGCGAAAAGAAGUUCUCCCUUUGGUAUAGGUCUUGAGGUGCUUAGAAAAAUUUCUGGCAUGAAAUGGAAUAGCUUUCAUUGCAGAUGAUAUUUUAGUCUUGGGAGAGGCUGGUAAUUUUGGUUGAGAACUGAAAACAGGAGAUGGCCCGCAAGUGAAGUUCCUUGAUGGAGGAGAGGACUCUGAUUCUUCCUCCAAUUCGUCAGAAUACCAAAAGCCAUUGGAAUUCUGAUUAAUAAAAUUCUUGGGGCCUACCAUCUGUGUGUCAGCUUUUAAAAUGUCUGCAGAUACAUUAAGUUUGAAACAAUCUGGUUGGGGAGGGCUAGGUGAGCUGUUUUUUGAGAUAAUAAAAUGUCGGCUGGCUGCCUUUUCUUCUUUCGAGGUCUGUUUUUCUCUCUUUUCUGUUGAAGUCUUUUCCCCUUCUAAGUACGUGGAGAUGCCAACUAUACCCAAAUUUGAAUUUUGCCUUCUGAAAAUUAUUUUUUCCGGCGAGGAUUCAAGGGCUGAAACUCUUUCCGGUCGAACAAGGUUUUCUUCUUCAUCACCCAACUUCCUAAGUGCUUCGAAAGGAUUUCUUGAGAUGGAUGGGGCAUUCUGUUUGAGAAAAUUCAGGUAUCUGGGAGACCAUCACUUUGGAGCCCUUCAUCUAAAAUCACUGAAUUUAUUCUACAUAAAUCAAUAGGAUUGGAAAAAUCACUUUGAAAUAGAUCAGAUUGGAUUAUUACAGGAGCUUCUAUGGGUUCAAAAUCCCCAAAAUUAAGGGAAAAAUUUCCUCAGUUCUCACUCUUUAAUUCUAUAGUUGCAGAAUCCGCAAAGAUUUUUCCGAACUUUAAUUCUUGCUUCAGAGAACUUGAUCAGAUUGAGUGUUUCUAAGAUUAUACUUUCUAGUCCACCAAAGUAGCUUAAGGCUAUAAUUGAAUUUUCUUUCAACCACCAGCUUAAACUUUUUGGUGAAUCGGUAGUUUAAUAUUUAUAUUAAUAUUUUAUAAAAAAAGUAUACAGCUAAUGCCAUAUAAAAUAAAUAAAGAAAUACUAUAAAAUCUACAUCCAUAAAAUAUGCAUGUGAACACAUAUCAGAAGAUGGAUAUUCGUAAGUUAGAAAGACCGAUAACAAAAUGUCAUAAUUAAACAACAACAUUAAUAUUAUGGGUAGUUUCAAGCUUCAUUUGUCUAUUCUAGGUAGGGAUAUUGAAUAACUCUUAAGAAUAAUAUAAAGAUUGAAUCCCUAAACUUCAGGUGCUUGCUAGUAUACAACCUAAAAGUUCAACAGUUAAAGAAACUGAUUAAUCAUUUUUGGCAGGAUGUCAGAUUCGCCUUUUGAAAGCCUACAUGAGUAGAGCCAGCCAAAUAAGCCAAGCAAGAUAUGCCUCUUAAGGAAUAUGGAGAAGUUCAGUGACUGGGUAUGUAUAUGAUAAGCCUUAACCUCAAUUUUAUUUAUCAAUAAUGGAGGGAAGGAAUCAGAAGCUUCUCUAGCUCUUCAGAAUUGAGGUCCUCUGAUGCCACAUUUACACUUCCAAAUUCUUGACAAAAAUUUUGUGUACACUGAUUGGUUGGAUUUUUAGGAUAAAUACUUGAUAAAAUUUCAUGCUUUGAAUUGGCUAAAGAGCAUCCUUGAGAGCAGGUAUCGUAUACAUCACUUUUAGGAUCAAGAUUUUUGUUAGAGUGGGAAUGGAAAUGGUCCAGAUUGACUCCUUUUACUUUCUUUGACGUCAGGGAAGAAAGUGAUGCUUCCCAAACUCUCUUUGCGCUAUGUUUAGAGCAAGAACAAUGUGUCUCAUCCAAAUUACCAAGAGUAUUGGAUAAUUUUGCAAUACUAGCUGUCGUGUUGUUCUCUAUUUCUGCUAAAGAAACUGGACCGUUGCUGUCAUGCACUGCAUCCUGGUUUAAAUAAACCGUUAUGAGAUAAUUAAGCAACAUAUGGAGAAUAAUUUAAAUUGUACUAUCUUGUGGAACAAAACCUGAAUUACACAUACCCUGAAUUUCAUUUUCUUCUCCAAGGGGCACUAAAGUUACAAACUCGUCAUGUUGAAAAUUCAAAUUUUGAAUGGUAUGCUGAUCAGUUGCAUUUGAAACGUUGCAACCUCGAUUGGCAACACUGAUUCUUGCAGCAUACGGGGCUUCAGGCUUUAGUAGAAUGUGCGAAAUCCAUGGAUUUUAUUACACAUCCCAAAGGUGAACGACUUUGAGGCAUCUUGGUUAUAAUCAAUUGGUUCUCGAAGUACGCCACCUUCAUCCCCACUACAAAACUAUGUUCUGUCGAGCUGAUAGCACACUUGUUCUUUAAGAACGUCUUGAAGUUAUGGGGAGUUCCAUCAAGCAUUGUGAGUGACAGGGAUGGUAGAUUCAUUGGUACUCUCUGGACCGAACUAUUCGCCUUCUUGGGGACACGCCUAAAUAUAUCCUUAAGCUGCCAUCCUCAGACGAAUGGCCAAACUGAAGGAUUCAAUUGUAUGCUUAAGGAAUAUCUACUACAUUUUGUUGAUUUUGGACAAAAGAAUUGGGCCUAGUUGAUGGAUGUGGCUCAAGUUUUGAGCGGAAGACCAACUCUUCAUAGAGUUUAAAGCAAAGCAAAUUUGAUUUAGAGGACAUCAACAUCAGCAUCUCACCAGAAAAUACGAAGGGCCUGUUGAAGUUCUGAAGAAAAUUGGAAAUUCAUCCUAUAGGGUAUCGUUGCCUGCAUGGAUAAAAAAUCAUCUAGUAGCUCAUGUGAGCAACUUGAAACCUUACCAUCAAGAUCCAGAUGACCAGUAGUGCAACAAUGGUGUAUGGUCAUCUAGUGACCUAAAGCAGAAAGACAAUAAAGAAAUGGAAGAAAUCCUUCCUAAGAGAGUGAGGAAGGGUAUACCCAUGAAGAAGAUACAUGAAUUCCUACUGAAGUGAAAGAACCUCCAUGUGGAAGAAACACGUUAGGAAUGUGCUGAAGACCUUGGAGCGUGAAAGAAGAAGAUCGAGGAAUUCUAGCUUCGCCAAUCGACAGGGACGUCAAUUGUUUAAGUGGGGAAGAAUGUAACAAGCAUGCUUGUCCAGGGCGCUGUUUACUUAUGGCCGCAUGCCCAAACACCCCCAAUUUACAUUGUUUUCAUGUUUUGUAUUUAGUUUUACUUUUUGCUUUCCUUUUUAUGUCAUAAACCUUGGGUGUGACUUGGCUUUUUCUUAUGCAAGCCUACCAGAACUAAAAAAGUCUAAAAUGUACUAUAGAUGGGACAUAGUAGUUGAAUCCCUGCCCAAGCCUUGUUGCACUCUUCGCAAUCAAAGUUUUUCUUUGCAAUUGACAGUCUUCAAUGCUUGCUUUAACGAUAUUUUCAUUGAAUUUCUUUCUUCUCACGUUUUAUAAAACAUUUUCUCAAGAACCUGAAGAGAGGCUACAUCGUAUCAUGUGUUUGUCUGUGGUUUUUGGAUUUUGAUCAGCUAACUUGUUGUCUACGUAAAACAAGUGCAACAUAAUCGCGCCUCUCGUGUUUGAAAGCUCGCGAUUGUGACACAAGAAAUGCACUAGCCAAGAAUGCACAUGAGGAGGGCUAUACGAAAUGCCAAGCACGCAACCAAGUGAGGUUCACAAUGUGCUUGUGUGUGAGGUUAGCACGCGGGCAUGCCCAACACGCAUGAAAAGCCUCUUGUGAGAUCACACACAGUAGCCAGCGCCCAACCAAGGCCCUGCCACCCACCCAUUCGUGUCAGGCAGUGUCAUAUUGCGUGUUGAGCUAUUGGUAAUUUUUUGAGUUUUUUAAGUAUACUUUUGAUAUUUUCUUGGCAAAAGAUAAUUAAUUGUACUAUUUUACCAUUAUUUCAAGACAUGAGAAGAUCAUACAAAUUUAUAAACCAAGGAUUUGAGCUUGUAUCUGUGAGUGGAAAAUGUUUUAUUUAAAGUGAUUUCAAGCAUGUUCUUAAGUCAUGAUUUAUGACGGAUUUAUGAUAAAAUAUUUAAGUUAUGUUAUGAAAAGUCUUUCAAGCGUGUUAUUGUUUAAAGGUAUUUAUUCUAGCAUAUUGUUUACUCUUCAAAAUGCAUAAUAUUCAAAAUGUUUUCCCACUUUCUAGGUAGAGAUCGUGUCCUCUAAGCCUAACUUGCUGCUACCUGUCUACUGAAGGAUUUCAUUUUGUUAUCGUAUGUGUCCUGUUAUUUUGUACUAAUGAUAAAUUAGUCUUUUGUGCUAUCAGACUUAGGCUUUUGGGAAGGUUUUAUAAGGUUUUGUUCUAGAUAAAUAAGAUUACGUUUUUUCUAUGUAAAACUUGUCUAAGGUUGUUAAAUGAAAAAGGUUUAGCCCAAUUGGUUUUAGUAAAAUUUAUGUGUUAUGUUUCCGCUAUUGUUUAGAGUUUAAACGUUCAAGCUAAGGGUCAAAUGGUGUCGUUCUUGACGUGGGUGCUAUCGAUUGGCUUCACGCCAUAUCUCGAGCCACGCAAGUAGGUGCUCAUGGUGGGGUGUGAUAGCCUAAGUUGGCUUAUUAACGGUUAAAAUGUAAACAUGUCCAUAACAAAAUAGUCGGGCAAGGCCCAUGUGGACCGACUGGUAAAGGUUGAAGAGCAAAUGCUCUACCUAAUGAAAGUUCCUAACUCAAUUCGCUUCUUGGAAACCCGCCUUGAAGAAAUUUUUUAGAAAGCUGAUGCUAUUAAUUAAACCACCACCCAAAAUCUUAAGCUAGUGAUUAAAAGUAAAUUUAAUUAUAUAUCACUAACAAUCCCCCACUUAUGGGUUCGAAAUAUCUAAAAGGUCCAACAAGUGAACAUCAAUUUUAAUUGGGAAGGAAACACCAAUACAGGGACUUGAACAUAAGACCUUUUGGACCACCUGCUCUAAUACCAUAUUAAACCCCAAAUUCACCCAAAAGCUUAAGCUAGUGGUUGAAGGUAAAUUUAAUUAUAUAUUACCAAAGUAUGAGGUUUCAUCACAAUACCAAUUGGCAAUGAGAGGAGUAGCUCAUCUAUUUUAUAAGGAGUCUAAGUUUCCUUGGUUUUUCAAUUGUGGGAACAUGCCCCUUCAAGAUGGUGCCUCUUUGGUUUCACCUAUCUUGAACCAAAUAUCCGUUUAGGCUUAAUGAGCUCUAAUACCAUAUUGAAAGCAAUAUAUACGAAACCAAAGCUUACGUGAAAACGUAAGAAUCGAAAGAAAAGCAUUGUGUUUGUAGUUUUAUUAUUUUUAUGAUAAUUACAGACGUACAAUUGGUGGUUUAAUAUAUAUCACUAACACUAUUGCUGCAAUGAUCGAUCAUCUCGAUGGAUUACCCAUUUAAGAGUUGUUGACAAGAGUUGACACUCUAGAAUCAAAAGUUGUAAGAACUAGAUGUUGUAAUAAAUGUCCUAAAACUCGUUGUAAUCAUAAUCUAUUCAUUAAAGUCGUUAUUGAUACUAUAAUCUUAAAGCCAAUAAACUAAGGACCCGAGGUUAUUAUUAAGUAAACUUGAACUUUAUGUAGAGACAUAAAAGUUGAUCAAGUUUAAGUAUAGAGCCUAAAUAGUAUAGAUUGUACGAAUACAGUUAGGCACCUUAUUCCAGGACACAAUGAAUGCAGUCUGCUUUGUAUUUAGUAUAAACGAUGUGAUCCUAAAUCCUAGAGACAUGAAAGUGUGGACAUCCUAUGUAAAGAGUUUACAAAAGACUAGAACCAUGAAAUAGUCACUUUUAAGUUAUAACAUCGUUAACUUUGAAAAACUUACUAUUUCAUUGAUAGAUAUCAAAUAUAACUUAAUCUUAAUACUGAGCUAACUAUAAGCUUCUAUUCUCACCAGCAUGCUUGUUUAAGGCGUUGUUUAUCUAUGGCCACAUGCCCAAAUACCCCCAAAUCACCUUUUCUUUAUGUCUUGUAUUUAGUUUAGUCUAUUGCUUUCCUUUUUAUGUCAUAGACCUAGGGUGUGAGGUGUCACACAUUUUCAUUUGCAAACCUGUCAAAGCUCAAAAAGUCUAAAUUGUACUAUAGGAGAGACCCAAUAGUUGAAUCCCCAACCAUGUCUUAUCGUAUUCUUUAUAAUCAAAUUUUUAUUUGCCAUUGAAAGUCUUCAACGCAUUCUUUAAUGAUGUUUUUAAUGAUAUUCUCUCUCACAUUUUAUAAAACAAUUUUUUCAAGAACGGGAAGGGAGGUUAUAUCAUAUCGUGAGUUUGUUCGUGAUUUUCAGAUUUUACAUGACUGACUUAUUGACUGAGCAAAACAAGUGUUCUACAAUUGCCCGUUCCAUGUUUGAAAGAUUGCGAUUGUGGCACGCAGAGUGUCACAAGUGUGCUUGUCCAAGGCAUUAUUUUCCUAUGGCCGCAUGCUCGAAUAUCCUCAAACCAUUUUAUCUUUAUGCUUUGUACUUAGUUUAGUCAACUGCUUUCUUUUUGUUGUCACCGACCUAAGGUGCGUCGUUUCGCAAUUUUCAUAUGCAAGGUUGUCAAAGCUAAAAAAGUUUAAGAUGUAUUGUAGGGGAGGCAUGGUAAUUGAAUCCCCAACUAAGUCCUGUUGUGAUUUUUGCAAAUCUAAGCUUUCUUUGCAAUUGACAAUAUUCAAUUUUUUCUUUAAGGAUGUUAUCAUUGUUUUUCUUUAUCUCUCACGUUUUAUAAAACCAAUUUCUCUCAAAAGAUGAAGCGAGGCUACAUCGUACAACAAGUUUGUCCACAACUUUCAAAUUUCACAAGGUUGCCUUGUUCAUCAAUUUAGAACAAGUGUUGCACAAUCACCCGUCCCGUAUUUGAAAAGUUGCAUUUUGUGACAAGUGGUAUUAAAGCUUUGUUAGCUCCUUGGCUAAGCGAGAUGCAAUUAUGUCGACAAUGAAACAACUAUCGAAGUUGCAAUCUGAGCGACUGACUGAGAUUGAAGAGGAAUUCUUGGAUAUGAAAGAAUUGCCAAACGAAGUAAGAUUUCUCCAGACCGAACUUGAGAUGUUUAAAGAAAAAGUCAGAGAACUAGACGCAUUGAAUGCCUAAAUAGACAAACUACCCAUAAAUGAAUUGGCGCUGAGGGUUGAUUCGUUAGAACAUAAAACCACCAAAGUAGGUAGUUUUGAACGUGGAAGUAGCUCUUCAAGUUCUAUCGCACAAAUGGAAGAGCGUGUCGAAGAGUUUGAGUUUUGACAAGCUCCAACAUAAUCAGUUAUAUUUCAAGAAAGAGAAAAGUGUUUUUGCUAAAUAGCGUAUCAAUUUUCUGGGUCACAUCAUCGAAUGUAGAAAGAUUUGAAUGGACGAACAUAAGUUGUGAGCUAUUAAGGAGUGGAGAGCCCCCACUUCCGUGAAAGAGUUACGUUUCAUCCUUCAAUAUAUUCUAAAAUAGGGUUCACCUACUAUCCUCAAGAUUCAGUACCGGGAGAAAGAAAUAGAUGGAAAAAGAAAUGGGCUUGGUAAUUUCUUUUUCUAUGUAAAUAAGAAAAAGAAAUCCAAUUUGGUACAAGAGCCCAAAUUCAAUAGCCAGCCCAUCAAAUGAGGUCAACGACCCUAUUAAUAAGAAAUUUUUCCAUGCAAAAUUGCAUGUCCAUGGAAUACUAAAGCCCAACAACUCAAAGCUCUAUUUCUAAUAUGAAAUUCGAUGGCUAUAACACAUAUACUUGUCAAGUUUCUCUCUCUUCUCCCAAUUCGAACAAUUCGACUUAUUCCUAUCACACUGUUUUAAGUUUAUUCCAUAUGAGCUAGCAAGGGAAACUAAUGGACCUAUAUAUCAUGGACUCCAAUGAUUCAAGAUUAAUUGACACAAAUUCUUAUAGACUGAGUUAAUCCACAUUCGUUAACUAACGGGUCAUUCAUGUAUGUACUGGAACGAUUCAGAAUCAUAUCGUUUGUACUAACUACAAAGUCGGCGGCAUCCACAGUUUCUCUGAAAAAAUCUGGGUUACUACAACGUCACCACGAUAGACAUUUUCCUAAUAAGAUGGUACUUACGUUCGAUAUGUUUCCCCGUUUACGGCUUUUAGGUUCUCUUGAAUUUGCAACUGCAUCCACUGUUGUGACAGUAUAAAGUGAUUGAUAGAUGCAUAUUUGGAACGACUUCCAGAUUUGUCAAGAAUUUUCUUAGCCAUAAUGCUUCUGUUGUUGCUUCAAAAGUUGCUACGUAUUCUACCUCCAUUGUGGAAUCAACUAUACAAGUUUGUUUUAUGCUUCUCCAAACUACUACUCUUCUAUUUAGAGUGAAUACUAAUCCUGAUGUAGACUUUCUAGCAUCUUUAUCAGUUUGAAAAUCAUAAUGAGUGUAUCCAGUAAGGAUCAAAUCUUUUGUACCAUACACGAGAAUGUAGUGUUUUGUUCUUCAAAGAUAUUUUAGAACAUUCUUAACGGUUGUCCAGUGAUCACGUCCAAGAUUGGACUGAUAUCUACUGACCAUCCCUACUAAGUAGAAAAUGUCAGAUCUAGUACACAACAUUGCAUAUAUCAAACUUCCAACAGCGGAAGCAAAGGAAAUUUUUCUCAUAUCCUCAAUUUCUUGAGGUGUCUUAGGACAUUGUUCCUUUGACAAAUGAAUUCCGUAGAUGUAUAAUAGCAUACCCUUUUUGGAAUUCUACAUUUUAUAUCUAGACAACAUUUUGUCUAUAUAAGAUGCUUGAGACAUGGCUAGUGUUUUGUUCUUGCAGUUCUGUACAAUUUGGAUCUUAAGAAUGUAUUGUGCAUUUCCCAGAACUUUCAUUUGAAAUUGCAUAGCUAGCCAUUUCUUGAUAUUAGUAUGAAAUCCUAUGUCCUUUUCCAAUAAGUAGAAUAUCAUCUACAUACAAGACUAAGAAUACUACAAUGGAAUUGACGACCUUUUUUGUAAACAUAAGGUUCGUCAACCUUUUGUAUCAAAGCCAUAAGAUUUGAUCAUAGUAUCAAAUCUUAUAUUCCAGGAUCUAGAUGUUUGUUUUAAUCCAUAAAUGGAUUUUUGAAUCUUACAAACCUUUUGUUAUUGAUCUUGAUCUAUAAACUCCUCUAAUUGAGUAAUAUAGAUACUCUCUUCAAGAUUGUCAUUCAAAAAAAGUUGUCUUGACAUCCAUCUGCCAAAUUUCAUAAUCAUAAAACGUGUCGAUGCAUAAGACUAUUCUAAUUCACUUUAGCAUGGCAACGAUAGAGAAAGUUUCUUCAUACUCUAUGUUAGAAAGAGACAUGCAUAGUGGAAAAAUGGAAUACAAAAUUACCCUAAUUGCACCUAUUUAACUUGCAACCCUAAAUUAAAAGAAUUAGGGUUUAGGAAAUAUUAUACCUUUGUAUCUAUUCGAAUAUGAACGUCUAUACCUCUCACAAAAUUCCAAAAGUUUUUGAAACCAAAAUGUAACACCUUAAACUUAGGAUUUGGAAUUCGUAUCUCCAGCAUUCUCUACAUCCUCUGCGACCUGGCAGCAUCAUCCUUACUAUUCUUAAAAACUUAUUAGAAUGAAAUUCCUCUUCACAAACCAACACGAAAUCUUUCAGCAUGCUUUUCCUCACUCACAUGCAUCCUAGGAAAAUUUCCAAGAGGUCACCCAACAUAGAAUUUCUUCAAGCUAAGCACGCUUAACUCUGAAGUCCCUAUAAUCGAGCCACAAAAAAAAAAAAAAAGGUUCACAUUGUUGGUAUAGGUAUUAAGUUUUAAUUCUUUUCAGUCUUUCUUAACAUGACUUUCAUGUCCUCAAGGUGCACCUUGUCGGUAUACUUGUUGAUUUCUCUCUCUUCUCUCAAUUCGAACAAUUCGACUUAUUCCAUCACAAUGUUCUAAGUUUAUUCCAUAUGAACUAGCAGGGAAACCUAAUGGACUUAUAUAUCAUGGGCUCCAACGAUUCAAGAUUAACUGGUUAAACUCUUUUAGACCGAGUUAAUCAACAUUCGUAAACUAACGGGUCAUUCCACUAAAGUCUCGCAGUUGCACUCCCCUCACUAUAGAUAUAUUCUUGUCCAUUUAAUAUAACCAUGAUCAAUAAGUUAAUCCUUCACAUGUUAUUCGUAACCUCGAAUGGAUCAAAUUACUGUUUUAUCCUUGAGACUACAUCUUAUUUCUUAAGUCUCAUUGAUCCACUAUUGAACAAUUGGUUUAAGGUCCAACCUAUAAACUUAAUCCCUCUCAGGCUAAUGUGAGGGUGGGGCCCCUUGUUCAAGACUUGGAUUCAGUGCUUAAGAGAACAACCUAUCUACUAAUCGUAAAACAGGUAGAAGUGAAUUUUGUCUUGCAUCCUAUGUUCCCAGCCAUUCAUCUGAUCUUACCCUUGAAAUAGGAGGCUUAUUGGGAGAACGUUGAUGAGAUACCCUCACCUAUGCAGAUGUAACCCUAAAACAAGUAGAAGUGAAUUCAGUCUUAUGUAAGUACUUUACAGUGCUUAAGAGAACAACCUAUCUACUAACCCUAAAACAGGUAGAAGUGAAUUAUGUCUUGCAUCCUAUGUUCCCAGCCAUUCAUCCGAUCUUACCCUUGAAAUGAGAGGCUUAUUGGGAGAACGUUGAUGAGAUACCCUCACCUAUGCAAAUGUAAGGAUAAUCUCAUGUGAACUGGAGUUCAUAGUUAGCUUAGGAUUAAGAUUAAGCUACCUAAGUCAUCAAUAAACGAAAUAGUCAGUUCUAAACAGUAAACGGUGUUAUAACGUAAAAGUGACUAUUUCAUGGAUCAGUCUUAUGUAAGUACUUUACAUAGGAUGCCCCCACUUUCAUGUCUCUACAUGAACAAUUUAGGAUCACCUCGUUUGUACUAAUUACAAAGCGGGUCACAUCCGUAGUUUCUCUAAAUAAGGCACUAUAGACUAUUUAGGCUAUAUACUCAAACUUGAUCCGCAUUUAUGUCUCGACAUAAAGUUCAAAUGUAUUAAAAAAUAGCAUUAAGACUUAGUUUAUUGGAUUUAAGAUUAUAAUUUUUAAUUUUUCAAUAACGAUUUUAUUGAACUGAAUAUGAUAACAAACUACGAGUUUUAGGACAUAAAAUCCCAACAUAUGUAUUUUUGCCUCUAAUAAUAAUGUUGAAAGAUGUUUGUUGUGGUUUCAUAUGGGUGAUAUCUCUUCUGGUUGGACAUAGUCAGGUUUUGUAAUGGGUGACUUUAACGCUAUCAAAAUGCAUUUUGAGGCUUUUGAUAGGUCUUCUGUUCCUAUGGAUAUGGAGGAGUUCGAUAUGGCUAUUUGUGAGGCUUAUUUAGUUGAACCUAUAGUAUAGGGUAACUGGUUCACCUGGACUAGAAAGGUUCAUGGGUUUGGUUUGAUAAAACGGUUUAAUCGUAUUCUGGUUAAUGGUGUUGGAUUACUGCAUGGCCUUCGGGUAUUUCUGAUCACUCCCCUCUUAUUUUAUCCCAACUUUUAGCAGAGACAGUGGGUAGUUUCUUUUUGUUUCUUCAACCAUUGGGUUGAGGAUUCUUUGUUUAUUGAUAUUGUCUCUUCGAUUUAGAGUCGCCAUGUAGGAGUUUCUCUGAUUGUGAGUUUCGUGAGAAAUUUACAUAACCACAAGCCUACCCUCCAUAGACAGUUUGGUAAGCACAUUUAGAGCCUAAGUGAGGAGGUUCGUAUUGCUAAAGAGUCCAUGGAUAAAGCUCAGAGAAAGGUUGGGCAAAAUCCUAUGUCUGAUGUUUUGAGUCGCCAAGCAGGUCUUGCCAUUUUGGCCUUUUGGACGGCUGUUAGAUUGGAGGAAGCCUUCAUGUGUUAGAAGUCCAAGAGGUUUGUGAGUUGCCUUAGAACUUGUGUUACCUCCUCGAUGUUCUCCAUUAUGAUUAAUGGCUCUUUCAAGGGUUUUUUAAUGGGAGGAAAGGUUUGCGGUAGGGUGAUCCUUUAUCUCCUUUCCUUUUUAUCGUGGUGAUGGAGGUCCUCUCUCGUAUGUUGAAUCGGCCUCCUCCGAGCUAUCAGUUUCACAGGCAUUGUGAGAAGGUUAGCUUAACUCAUCUGACCUUUGCUAAUGAUCUUAUGAUUUUUUGUGCUGCUGAUGAUUCCUCUUUGAGUUUUAUUAACGAGACUAUUCGAAAGUUUGGUGAUCUCUCGGGGCUAUUUACUAAUCUUAGUAAAAUUUCUAUGUUUGUUGUAGGGGUUAAUAGUGAUGAUGUUUAUCGUUUGACUACCAGUUUGGGUUUUGUCCUCAGGCAUCUCCCUGUUCGUUAUCUUGGGCUUCCUUUACUUUCUGGGAGGUUACGACCUACUGAUUGUGCUCUCUUAUUCAACGUAUUACUAGUCAGAUUCAUUCUUGGUUUGCUAGAGUUUUAUCAUUUGCAGGUAGAUUGCAACUGGUUCGAUAUGUGCUUGAUAAUCUUCAGGUUUACUAGGCUAACGUGUUUGUGCUGCCUGUGAGUGUGCAUCAUGAGGUUGAUAAAAUCUUGAGGUCUUAUCUUUGGAGGGGUAAGGAGGAAGGUAGAGGAGGUGUUAAGGUGGCGUGGGCUGAGGUGUGUUCCUUUUGAGGAGGGUGGUCUUACUAUUCUUGAUGGGUCUUCUUAGAAUGUUGUGAGUACUAUGAAGAAUCUUUGGUUGUUGCUGACUAGUUCGAGUUUUCUAUGGGUUGCUUGGGUGGAGGCUUAUAUUCAUAAAGGAAGGUCGUUGUGGGAGGUCGAUUCUUGUGUUGGUCGGUCUUGGUGUCUUUGCGCUAUCAUGUGUAAACAAGAUAGUCUAAAAGAGCAUGUUCAGAUGGAGGUUGGGGAUGGUAGGCAUUGUAAACUGUGCCUGGAUCCGUGGUUGAAGGGUGGUCCUAUCCUUCAACAAGUUGGUGAGAGAGCGCUUUAUAAUGUAACGAGUAGAUAGGAGGCUAGGCUCUCUAAGUUUAUUGGUUCGAAAGGGGAGUGGAGGUGGUCGAGGGUGUCUUUGGAUUUGAUUAAUUUAUGGGAUAGGGUUCAAGUUGUAAGUUCGUGUCCUAAUGUUGGUGAUAGGUAGGUUUGGGUUCUUGGUCGUCAUAGUGGUUUUUUGAUUGCUAGUGCAUGGGAUACUAUUCAUUCUCGUAGUGUUAAGGUUCGUUGGACAGGUUUCUUGUGGGGUGGGGAUUGAGAGUCUCGUUAUCAUUUGUUUUUUCAUGUCCUUUUGGGUGUGAUAUUUAGUCUCGGGUCCUUUAGGUUAUGGCUUCCUCUCACAGGAUUGGGUAUUGGGGGGUUGAGUUGUUUGGGGUUUGUCAUUAGAGUAUUGGUAAGGGUGUGAGAAGGAAGUUGUGGUAUGUUCUCUGGUGUGCUACGAUUUAUUUUAUGUGAAAGGAGCAUAAUCAUUGUCUCCAUGGUGGUCAAGCUCGUUUGCUCAUUGUUCUGUUUCAGCUUAUUCCAUAUUGUAUCAGUGCUCGUGUUGUUUAUUUGCGUGAGGAUGCUUAUGGUAUUAUUUAGCUUGUUUUCUUUUGAUUUUUGUUUUAUCUGCUUGUUCUCGGGCUGUGGGGUUGUUUGGACUUUUUAUGUUUUUGUUGCUCUUAAUUUUGUUGGGUUUAUUAUUGUUCUUUCUUUUGAUACUCUGGAUUCUUCCUGUUUUUGUGAGCAUUGUUCGCUCUUGUGAGGUCAUCCUUGUUGUAUUAUGAUAUUAACUUUUCAAAAAAAAAAAAAAGAUAAUGCAAUUCAACUUUAGAUAGAAACAUGAUUCGAAUUUUCAUUUCAAGAAAAUACAAGGGGACAGAACUCAAGGAUUAUGUGGAUCACAAAACUUGAAUUACUAGAAUCUAAAUUUCCAUAUGUUAGAUAUCAUCAGAAGCAGUUAGACCAAAAGUUAAUUAUCAAUAUGUUAGUUCACAGGAACUGCAUAAUCAAGCACAUAAACAUCCACAUUGUCAUUCAUUGUAGGCAGCUUUGAUACACAAAAAAUAUGGAUAUUUUCAGAAGUUCAAGCAUACACAAAAAACAUAUCCUUGUCAGAAAAUAGCCAACUAAGAAAGAGAAGUUCAAGAUUUAUAUACAAAGUGCAGCUGCAAAAGGACAAGCAAGAUGCCAUAAUCUAUAUAUUAUGCAGUCGGAUAUUAAUUGGCAAGUACUAACAGCAAAGGUACCAAAAUAAAACUGUAUCAAUUUAUCUUGUCUAAAACUAAACAGUAUAUGUAAAUCUUGCAAACAAACAAGUUUUUUGAAUCAAAACUGUCAAAAGAUUUUGAUUCAAGUGAUAAGUGGAUUGUGAUCUUUUGUGUCACCCAUCCAUUCCUCCUGUUUUAACCAUUUAAAUCAAUAAAUAAUUUUAUGUUCAAACAUAAGUUGGACAACCUUUGUUAAAGAACUGCUUCCCAAAACAAAUAGCAUUAACCACCCUUUUUUAAUUCAACACAUGGGAAUAGAGAUCGAAUCUCUAAUUUUUUGGUCUAAGGUACCUUUCCUAAACUUGUCGAAUUCCAUUUUCUACACCAACUUUAAUUCGACCUCCCACGAAUUCUCUUCUUCUAAGGAUUAACUUUUCUCUAAGGCUCUGCACUCUACUAAAAAGCCUUGAUCUUCUUCCCCCCAAUGUUUUCAUAAACUUCUUAAGACAGACCUUGGCCUUGGUUAGGCUCGGAUCUCCUUGGAUUAUCACCUUCUUCCCCUGAUAUGUAAAUGUUAACAUCAGAUUCUUCCAAUUCACUCCAGUCGUUCCCAAGGAAUACAAUCACUGCAUUCCAAGUAUGGCAACUACCCCUCCCAACUUCAAGGAUAAAAACUCAUUCACUACCUUCUAGUCUCCCAGCAUUAACUCAACAUCUUCACAAAUUACCUUCCCUUUGACUACAGUGCCCGAGCCCAAAAUGACUCCAUAAUUUGACGUUUCUCUUGUACUCAGUUACAACUCUUUCACUAUUUUUUUCUGAAAUGAAAUUGCGUGUGACUCCACAAUCAAUUAGUAUUAUAGCCACCUUCCCUUGUAUCAUCUCUUUUACCUUCAUUUUCCCUAGGUUGGAUAAUCCCACCACAUAAUUAAUGGAUAAUUCCACCAUCAUUUGACUCUCCUCUACGAUCUCAGGGGCAUUCAAUUCUUUCUGAUCAAUUCCUCCUUCUUCAAUAAUUUCAUACUCCUCGCCUUCUUCCUUCACAACAAUCAUUCGCAAUUCCCUUUGCUCUUUCAUCUUGCAUUUGUGGUCAUGAGAAUAUUUCUCAUUACAGCGAAAGCACAAUCCCUUCUUUCUAGAUUGAAAUUCAGCAUCAAAUAAGCGCUUCGUCUGUCCCUCUUUCCGUACUUCCUCUUUUGUUGUUCCUCGUAGAGUAAUAGUUCUCAUCGGCCAAUUCAUUCCUCCUUUACUUUCUUCUGUAUUCGCAAUGGUAUUAGCCUUGGUGCUAUUAUGGGAGUUUAUCACCUUUUCUCCAGAAUAUCCAAAAAGAUUUGCUUCCUGACGUAUAUCUUCCUUGUUCUCUACCUUUUGCGCAAUUCGUAUCAUUUGUGCUAAUCCCUUCGACUCACAUAAAUCCAUCUCCGCCUAGAUCCACAGUUUCAAUCCCGACAUAAAUUGUCUCUUUUACCACCUUCUCUAAUAGGUCCGACAAAGGAGCUACGCACUUAUCGAAUAAAUUUUGAUAUUCCUCUAUCGUUGUCUUUUGUUGAAUUUGGCAAGAACCUUACAUACAACGAUUCCUCCCUAACGGAUCGAAAUCGCACCAAUAAAUCUUUCCUUCAUAUUCACCCAAUCUACAAAGUUCUCUCGUUCUUUUCUUGAGAACGGUAAAAGUUCAAUGCUAGUCCCUCAAAACUAAUAGUGGAUACAGUCAUUUUCUCAAAUUCAGUAAGUUUAUGAAUGUUCAAAUACCUCUCUACGCAAAACAGCCAAGAAUCGGGAUCAUCUCCAUUGAAUAUCGACAUCUCCACCUUCUUAAACUUAUUGCAGUCAACUAUUACUUUCAUCAUCUAUUUUCUUUCCUUCCUUCCCUGUUUCGUUCUCCCAUCUUGGUCACCCUUCGCCUUCGUCCACAUUCUUCGUCGAUGAAUUGUGCAUUGUUGUCGAUUCCAUAAUUCGUAACAUCAUCUGAUUCUACCUCUCCAUAUUUUUGGAUAUUUUGGCCAACGUCUUUUCGAUCACCAGUAUCUUACUAAUCUCUUUCUUAAUGUCUUGUAUUUCCUGGUCAAACGUCUCCAUCUCUUCGAUCCGAGUCUGAACCAUUUGCAUUCUUCUUGCCCGAGAUCAAUGCUCUGAUACCAAUUUGAUGGAAACCACUCUUGGAAUGAAAUUGCUAGCUACUAUAUUAUUAAUGAUAGAAUAGGAAUGAAAUCCUAAUUACAUUAUGAAAUCCCACUCCUGUUAUCCUCUCUCUCAAGGAAGAAUAGAAAUUCACUUUCUCAAACAAAACCUAACUUUCCCGCCCACGAUUACUUUUUAUUUAUACUAACAAUAAGGUAACUAACCCUCACAUGCUAUUCAUGUGCACGUGAUAUAUUUUUUUUAAUUUCUUUGUCCCUCUUCCGCUGUACAGAUGUAAUAUAGGGGGUCUAUCAGAUUCCUCCUCUUUUCAAAGCCUCCAAUCAAACUCAAUGCUAAGUUUGACUGCUCCCUUCAGAGUGACGACCCUCAUUUUCCCCCUUCCGUGGUUUGGGGAGGAUUCCUCCUCUUUUUAAAGCCCUCAAUCAAACUUGAUGCUAUGUUUAGAACGCUAAGAAUAGGUGGUCUAGUUUUGGUUAGGCCAAAAGUGAAAUUUUCCCCCAAAAGCACUAAUAGUUAGGGAACUCAACACAUUCUACUUGACUUAAUCGACUUGACUCUCUAAUUUUUAUGAGCUUUUUUCAAUGCAUAUUGCAUAUGUUUUUUUUAUAGUUGUUGAUUGUCUCACAUUUUUAUGGUUUGCAUUUACAAGCCUCUUUUUUCUUUCUUUGGUAUGAAAUAUGGUAAUAGGCCUUGCUAGAACCGGUGGGGUAAUCUCUCUAUGGUUCUACACUUAGUUUCAAAGUUUGAUUACUCCCUUCGAAGUGACAACAAGCCUCGUUUUCCCCUAUUGUGGAUCAGAGAGGAUUCCUCCUCUUUUCAAAGCCCUCAAUCAAACUCAAUGCUAAGUUUAACUGCUCCAUUCGAAGUGACAACAAGCCUUGUUUUCCCCUAUUGUGGAUCAGAGAGAAUUCCUCCUCUUUUCAAAGCCCUCAAUCAAACUCAAUUAGAGUAAAAAAGGAAAAAUUUUCAUCUCGGGCGCGUGUACCUCACACGCGUCUCUCUAGGAUUUCCAAGUUCUCUCACUCGGGUGGUGAAGGAGGCGAACGGCUGGUGAGUGCUGCGGUCAGCAAGGGAUCAAAUUCGAAGGUAAUUCGUUCGGUUUUGGCAGAUUGAAUGUGAAAACUAAUGUCAUUUGGUAUCCAUUUCGAAAUUGAUUACAAUUGAUCAAUUGAACCAUUACGAAUGAUAUUCGUUUUGAUUCGGGAGAAUUAACGUCUGUCUAGAAAUUGUUUAAAUCGAUUUCCAAGCUGAAUUGAUUUGAACUAUCUUGAAAGUAUUGCGUGUGGUACGAAUCGAUUUAUUGGCUAUCAGUUCUGGGUUUGAAGACCGUGAUUUAAUUCACUCGCUGAAGGGAUCUCGCAUGAAUCUCCUCGGUUGAAUUUCAAUUCUUUUUGAGUUCAUUCGUGUUCCCAGAUUGGGCCGAAAAGAUCAUCACGGGUGUUGGGUUGAUGUCCUAAGCAUGAAACGAUGAAGAAAUUAUCCAGUGACAUUGAGGAGGUGAAGAAACGUGUGAUGUCAAGCCUUCAACGCGUACAUGAUAUGGCGGCGAACGACCGAAGGGCGGCGACUGCAAAGGCUGACCUAAUUUCUGUGAGGAAGAAAUGGUCGGACAUGAGUGGACCCGAACCGGUUUACGUGAACCGUGAAACAUAUAAAAACUGAAAUACAGGAAAUGGACCGAGCGGAGAUGGUCCCAUGAAGAUUGUUGGCCCAAAGGCGUGUGGGCCGAUUGUUUUGAAUGAAAACGUGAUGAAGCCAGUGAGCCGGUAAAGGGGCUGAAGCCGAAUGGUGUGGACACAUUUACGAAUGGAAUUGGUCAUGGAUUUCUGGUUGAUGGGCCAUCGUUGAAUGAUGGGCCGCCCAUCUCACACGAAACUGGGAUCUCACAGAAGGAGUGCUUACCUGCUGGUGCUUCAAGUGUUCAGCAUGUUGGGCAAAUUGCAACAGCCGAAGGAUAUGGACCUGGGCUGGAUGCUAUUGCAAGUGCCCCAAAGAUUGGGCCGGUUGAUGGGCAUUUGAAUGAUGGGCCAGCCAUUAGAGAAUCGUUUGGUAUUAAUUCAAAUGGUGGGCCGCCUGUUUCGAUUCGUGGGCAUGAGGUGCAGAAAUCUAAUAAUUCUGGAGGUGCAGGCAAAAAUUCAUGGGCUUCCUUAUUUGGCUCAACAAGAGGUUUCUCUAUGACCUAUACACCUCUGACUACCGUGGGAGAGAAAAUUGUGGUGACCCCGUUUGAAGAAGUUAUUAGUCAAGGAGUUAGAGUGUGGGAGAACUCCCUCGUCAGCCAAUUAAUUGAUGCAAAAUUGCUGUAUCUAGUCAUCUAUCGUCUUAUAGAGAAGAUUUGGGGUAGAAUUGAAAUGCCAACAAUUACUCUGAUGGAGAAUGGGCUCAUCUGCUUUCAAUUCAAACAUCUGAAGUCGAUAGAGUGGAUCUUAUCCCGUGGCCCAUGGCACCUUGGAGGCAAACCUAUGCUCCUCCGCAAAUGGACUCCAGGUAUAGUUCCUGAAUCCUUUGUCUUUGAUUCAGUUCAUGUUUUGAUAAAGUUAGGGAGGAUUCCGUUGGAGCUAUGGACGGAUGCUGGUUUGGCUGUGGUAGCGAGUGCAAUAGGAAAACCUCUUUCAGUUGAUCUUGCUACUAAAGAGAGGCGUCGUCUUUCUUAUGCCCGUAUAUGUGUGGAAUUGAAUGUGGACAGUAUUAUGCCUGCCGAAGUAACAGUCAACCUUAGAGGAGAGGAAUUUAUUGUAACUGUCACUUAUGAGUGGAAACCGAAAAAAUGUAACUUGUGUCGAUCUUUUGGACACUCGCAGAACACCUGCCCUAAGAAAAGAGGCAAUGAAGAUAGUAAAAAGGAAGCUGCAAGUAAAGAGGUUCCUGUUAAAGAGGUUGUUCCUACUAAAGAGGUGGUUCCAAUUUGUGGGGAGUAUGAAGAUGUUGUGUUGGAAUCCUUCCAACACAUGGAAGAAGGAGAAAUUAUUACCCAUAAACUGCCUGAAAAGGUGGAGGUAAAUUGGGAGGAAUUUACCCCAGUUGACAGGAAAAAUAGGGGAAUGAUCUCUAUUUGGGACAGAGGGAAAAGGGCGGAAGUGAGUAUCACUAACUCCUUUAACAACCUCAUGGAGGUGGAUAAAGGAGAUAAAUGGCCUUUAUCUAUAGUGGAUGCCUCCCCUCCUCCCUUACGAGUAGAUGACUCUUCUAUGGUCCUUUUGAGUACUGCAGGUGAUGUAAUUCCUAUGGGAGAGGCGGCUCCCAUACGACCUCAUGGUUAGUUGGUGUACGUGGAACGUGCGGGGCCUUAAUAGCCCUAUAAAGUGUAGAGCGGUGAAGGACUUCUUAGCUGUGUCUACGGUGGGUUUCUGUUGCAUCCUGGAGACUAGAGUUCGAGAGGAGAACUUUGUCUCGAUAUCUAGAAGAUUUGUGAUUCGUGGGGGUUCAUUAGUAACUACAGCGAUAGUGGAGCAGGUCGAAUGUGGAUUAUGUGGAAACGUAACAGUUUUGUGUUCACGACUAACGAGGUUGUCGACCAGUUUAUUUUUGGUGUAAUAACAGAUUUGAUCUCUGGGGAGAAGGUAGAGGUUCUGUGUGUGUAUGCCUAUAAUAGUAACAUCGAGAGACGUGUUUUAUGGAGGCAAAUGGCUGAGAUCUCUGCUGGUUGGAGAGGACCGGGUAUGGUCUUGGGUGAUUUUAACACCAUCAGACUCCAGUCUGAAGCAUUCGGGGGUGCUCCGAACGUGGGGGAUAUGGAGGAGUUUGACAUGGCUAUUCGAGAGGCGGACCUUGUUGAACACGCGGUCCAGGGGAACUGGUUUACUUGGACUAGUAAGAUACAUGGGUCGGGUUUGAUGAGAAGAGACUUGAUCGUAUCCUAGUGAAUGAUGAGGGGCUUAGUACAUGGCCUAACAUGAGGGUUAACGUCCUCCCGUGGGGUAUUUCUGAUCAUUCUCCCAUACUUGUCUAUCCCAGUAAUCAGCGAAGCCAACAAGUGGUCUCUUUUCGUUUCUUUAACCAUUGGGUUCAAGAAGCGUCCUUUAUGGAUGUUGUGUCCUCUGCUUGGACCAAAGAUACUAGAGUUUCUCCAAUUGUGAAUAUUGUGAGGAACUUAAGAAAUCUCAAGUCGAUUCUUCGCAGACAUUUUGGUAGGCAUAUCCGGACCAUCAGUGAGGAUGUUCGUCUUGCCAAUGAUACCAUGGACCGAGCUGAAAGAGAGAUGGAGACGAACUCUCUGUCGGAGGAGGCGAGUAAUCACGCGAGCUUAGCCACGGUAAACUUUUGGAAAGCGGUUAGAGUGGAGGAAGCCGCUAUGCGUCAGAAGUCGCGAACCAGAUGGUUGAAGCUAGAUGACCAGAAUACUGCCUUUUUUCAUCGAUCUGUUCGAUCAAGGCAGAGCAGCAAUGCUUUGAGAUCAGUUAUUGACCCAGAUGGAAAUCGGUUGACUAACCAUGAUCAGGUGACUCAGGUGGUAGUGAAUUAUUUCAAAGAUAGUCUGGGUUCUCAGAAUAUUAGCUAUGGAGAGCUCUCUACUAGUAUUGAGGAGAUUGUUCAGUUUAGAUGGACUGAGGAGUGUUGUCAGGCCCUCCAGUCGCCUAUUGGCAGGGAGGAAGUGAGACGUGUUCUGUUCUCCAUGGAUGGUGGAAAGGCUCCAGGCCCUGAUGGGUAUUCAGUUGGCUUCUUCAAAGGAGCUUGGACGGUGGUUGGAGAGGGUUUCUGUGAUGUCGUCUUACACUUCUUUGAGACCAAUUACUUCCCUCAAGGGGUGAAUACGACUGCUAUUACACUUAUUCCUAAAAGGAAUGGUGCUGAUCGAUUGGAGGAUUUCAGCCCUAUAUCUUGUUGCAGCGUUAUUUAUAAGUGCAUUUCAAGAAUAUUGGCAGAUAGGCUUCGUGUGUGGCUUCCUUCUUUUGUUAGUGGAAAUCAGCCAGCUUUCAUCCCUGGGAGGAGUAUUAUUGACAAUAUUCUUCUUUGUCAGGAGCUUGUAGGGGCAUACCAUUUGCACAGAGGUAAACCUCGGUGCACUAUGAAGGUUGACCUCCAAAAAGCUUAUGAUUAUGUUAAUUGGGAUUUCCUCUUUGGCCUGCUGAUUGCCAUAGGUACGCCUUUAAGAUUUGUGAGUUGGGUUCGAGCGUGUGUGACCUCUCUGAUGUUCUCCAUUAUGAUUAAUGGAUCGUUGGAAGGUUUUUUCCAUGGGAGGAAAGGACUUAGACAAGGUGACCUUUUAUCCCCGUUCUUAUUUGUGAUGGUCAUGGAGGUGCUUUCUCGCAUGUUGAACAGCCUACCUCAGAAUUUUCAAUUCCACUAGUUUUGUGAGAAGGUCAGAUUAACUCAUCUUACUUUUGUAGAUGACCUGAUGAUCUUUUGUACUGCUGAUAAUCAUUCUAUGAGUUUCAUAAAAGAGACUAUUAAGAGGUUUGGUGAGCUUUCGGGACUGUUUGCUAAUCUUGCUAAAAGCUUAAUUUUUCUUGUGGGGGUUAAUAGUUCGAAAGCCUCUCGGCUUGCUGCUAACAUGGGUUUUUCCAUUGGUCAUCUCCCUGUUCGUUAUCUUGGGCUUCCUCUCCUCUCUAGAAGAUUGCGGAGCUCUGAUUGUGAUCCCCUUAUUCAGCGUAUUACCAGUCGUAUUCGGUCUUGGUCUGCUAGAGUGUUAUCUUUUGCAGGUAGACUUCAGCUUGUUCGCUCAGUCCUUAGGAGCCUUCAGGUUUAUUGGGCUAGUGUGUUCAUGCUUCCUAUGAAAGUCCACAGAGACGUUGAUAAGAUCUUGAGGGCUUAUUUGUGGAGAGGUAACGAGGAGGGAAGAGGUGGUGCUAAAGUUGCCUGGGAUGAGGUUUGUCUUCCUUUUGAUGAAGGAGGUCUUGAUAUUCGCGAUGGAUCUUCUUGGAAUAUAGCAAGCACGUUGAAGAUAUUAUGGUUGCUACUUGUUAAAUCUGGUAGUUUAUGGGUUGCUUGGGUGGAAUCUUAUAUCCUUAAAGGGAGAUCGCUCUUGGAGAUCGAUGCUGGGGUGAGUCGAUCUUGGUGCUUUAGGGAAAUCUUGCGUAAGCGGGAUAUCCUUAAAGAUCAUGUUAAGAUGGAGGUGGGCAAUGGAAGGAAGUGUAGAGUGUGGUUGGUUCCAUGGAUUCAGGGUGGGCCGAUUAUCCAGCAGUUUGGGGAGAGGGUGAUCUAUGAUGCAGGUAGUCGGUGGGAUGCGAGGCUGGUGGAUUUCAUGGGUCGGGAUGGUGAUUGAAGGUGGCCGCUUGUUUCUUUGGAUUUGAUGGACAUUUGGGAUAGGGUUCAGGGAGUGAGGCCGAGUCCGAGUGUUGAGGAUAGGUGGGUCUGGGUGCCGGGGAGUCAUGAUAGUUUUUUAUCACCAGUGCGUGGGAGACUAUUCGUCCUCAUAGUAGUAGGGUUGGUUGGUCGGGUUUACUAUGGGGUGGGGGAAAUAUUCCUAAGCACUCCUUUUGUGCUUGGUUGGCCAUCAGGGAUAGGUUGGGUACUAGAGAUAGGUUAAGUCGGUGGGAUAGGUCGAUUCCUUUAUCGCGUUUGCUUUGUGGAGGGAACUAUGAGUCUCGUGAUCAUUUGUUUUUUUCUUGUCAUUUUGGGUGGGAGGUUUGGUCGAGGAUCCUUUUGCUUAUGUCAUCUUCUCAUAGAAUCGGUUAUUGGGAAGAGUGUGAGGAGAAAACUGUGGCGCCUUCUCUGGUGUGCUACAAUUUAUUUCAUUUGGCAGGAGCGAAAUCAUCGUCUUCAUGGAGUUGCUAUUCGGGAGCCUAUGGUUGUAUUCCAGCUCAUUCGGUCGUGUAUUAAAGCGCGUGCUGCUUCUUGGUCGGAUGGUGUUCAUGGUCUUGUUUAAUGUUCUUUUCGUUUGCUUGUCCCCGGGCUGUGGGGUUUCUCUUCUCUUUAUUAACUUUGUUGUCUUUCUCUCUUCUUCUUUUUCCUUUUAAUGUUUGGAACACUAGUUGGUUUCUUUUGGUUUUAGUUCUUGUUCCCGAGAUGUGGGGUUGUUUUGGGUAGCUUAUGGGUUGUUUUGUCUAACUACUUGUUCUAUGAGUGUUGUUCGCUUCUUUUGUCUUGACCUUAGGCUGUGAGGUCCACCUUGUUGUUGUAUAAUAUUAUCAUUACCUUUUCAAAAAAAAAAAUCAAACUCAAUGCUAAGUUUGACUGCUCCCUUCGAAGUGACAACAAGCCUUGUUUUUGCCCUAACUGUGGAUCGAGGAGGAUUCCUCCUCUUUUCAAAGCCCUCAAUCAAACUUCACAUUAUGAGUAAAACAGGAAAAAUUUUUCAUCUCGGGUGCGUGUACCUCACACGCGAUCUCUUCCCCUAGGAUUUCCAAGUUCUACUCAACUCAGCAUGGUGAAGGAGGCCGAACCGACUGGUGAGUGCUGCGGUCAGCAAGGGAUCAAAUUCGAAGGUAAUUCGUUCGGUUUUGGCAGAUUGAAUGUUGAUAAACUCAAUGUCAUUUGGUAUCCAUUUAUGAGAAUCUUAUCUUACAAUGUGAUCAAUUGCGGUAACUAGGCAUUACUAGAACUGAUGGGAUAUCAUUUCUAUGAUUCGGGACUGAAUUUCUAAGCGUGCUUGCUCACCUGAAAUUGUUUAAAUCGGUUAAUUUCCAAGCACAUUGAAUGCUGACUUUGAACUAUCUUGAAAGUUAUUGUCGUGUGGUACGAAUCGAAAUAAUUAUGAAAUAAGGCAUAUCAGAUUCUGCGUUUGAAGACCUUCCCGUUGUACUUGUAAUUCACUCUGGCUUUGUGCAGGAAUCUCGCAUUGGAGCUAAUCGUAACCUUUCGGUUGCAAUUUUAAUUCUUUUUGAUGUUCAUUCGUGUUCCUAGAUUUGCGGCCUGACAAAGAAUCAUCUACGGGUACGUUGGGUAUGAAUGUCCUAUAGCAUGAAACGAUGUUUUCCCCCAAAAGCUGCUAGAUAGCUUAUGGGAUAACUCAACCGAUAGUUUCAUACUUGACAUUCAUAAACACGAUGCUUGGCAGCUAUCCAAUUGUAUUUCAUUUUAUCGAGAAUGGCUUUUUUUAAUGCAUAUUGUCAAUAUUUGUUUUCUUUUUUAAAAUAAUAAUGUUGAUUGUCUCAUCUUUUUUUAUUCGGUCUGGCAUUCUACUUGAGCUACUCAGUUUUCUUUCCUUUGUUAUGACAACUAAUGCGGGUGAUAAAAAACUUAGGCACUUGCUAGUAACCGAUGGGGUAAGCCAUUCUGCUAUGGUUCUACAACUUAGUUUCUAAGUAGGUAGAUUUGCUCACCUUCUAUAUGCUGUUCAUUAAACACUUAAUUUCAUCAAGACCAAUUUCUCACUCACACAUGGUCUUGCAUUCUCUAGAAACGUCCUAAAAUGAAAAUUGUUGUAGUUAAGACUACAAUAAGGUCUAUGAAUAAGUUAUGAAAUAAGAUCUCAUAAGAGAAUUUGUAAGUUUUAACAACCUUACCCGUUGUUAUCUUGGGUUAAAAUCCACGUCUGGCUUUUCCAAGUGUCUGAGAAAAUUGCGUUUGGAUAAGCUAAGUCAAGUAAAUUUGCUUUCGGUUUGCUCGUCUUAACAUUAUCCUUGUUAUAGACUUGACAUCUUCAAAUUUAGCAAUAUAAGCUUUGCUUCCUGACGAAGAAUCUUCUACUUAUUACAAUACAUAAGAAAAAUUCUAUUAAUCAAACCCUGUAUCAUAAUUUAUAGUGCUGAUAAUGAUUAUUCUAUUAAUCCCUACCGAAUAAGAUCGAACGAAGAAUCAUAAUUCAUAUGAACUCUCCAAUUUCAUCGAGACCAAUUUCUCACUCAAACAUGGUCUUGCAUUCUCUAGAAACAGUCCUACAAUACAACAAAUGAAGGGAACUAAAAAGUUGUUAACAAUAUAGGUCUAUUGAAAAAGUUAACAAAGGAAAAUCUCAAAAACUAAUAUGUAAGUCAUAACAACCUUAAGUUCUUCUUAUCGUGGGUUAAAAUUGCUACGUUAAAGGUUUUUCCAAGAAGUCCGAGCAGUACUAGCAAUGUAAAUAAGGUUAAUGUGCAACUAAAUUCUGCAGUCAUAAAUUUACUCGUAUUAACAUUAUCAUUGUUAUAGACUUGACAACUAUCAAGAAAUUUAUCAAUAUAAAAUAUGCUUUAACAAAACGUACCUUGAGGUUCCUCCAACCUUAUUAAAAAAGCAAAUAAUCCAACAAUUUAACCAAAUUUAUAAGUGCAUGAUUAUGUAUAUCAAUUGAUCACAAUAAAAUAAGAUCGAACAUAAUACCCAUGAGUAAUAUUUAAAGCCACCAAAUGAAAGUACAAUGAUGAAAACCUGAAGAACAAAUACCGGUAUGAACAAAAAAAGAAUACAAUUCAUACAAUAAAACAAAUGUCUAGGAGUGUUAACUAACCGUCGAAAGGUUGGUUUACCUUGUAUACACACUUCAAAAUAUCUGAAGAAAAGUGGAGGGAAAAAACCAACCAAUCCUAAUCUAUGAUCGGAAAUAAACUCCUCAACCACAAAUAGCCAUUAAAAGUUUUCUUCGUUUAAAGUGUGAAAUCACAAACCUUUGAAGGAUCCCACCAUCACUCUCUUUCUAUCCCCUUCAAAACCUCAUUAUUUUCAAGAGAGGCCUCAAAGCUUCUUCCAAUUAACAUAAAAGAAGAAUGAAAGAGAAGGAGAGAAAGGGAAAGUGGUUCAAAAGCUAUGGAAAAAAAAGUAAAAGAAAAUGGUCUACUCAUCGGCACAUCUUACACAGAUGAUAAUGUUAGGGCAAGGCAAUGAGAGACAGAAUGCUUUUGGAGCCUUCUCCUCUACUUUCGAAGAUUUUAACAAACUAAAAUAUGCAAAUGUUACAAGAAAGAUCUUUGGAGAUUUGAAAUAAUCCAAAAUAAAGAAAAAGGAAAACCCCAAUAUGUACAAAUUUCAUAAUCUAAAACUUGAAAAGUGAUUGAAUGAUGAGAUAUGUUUGUACAAUCAAUUAUAGAGACAGUGAAACAUUAAAACAAAAAUGAAACGUACCAAGAUAAAAAGAAUAGCAACUAGUAUUAUGACCUUUGUAUGUCUUCAAAAUACAAACAUCAAAAUGAAUCAAGAGAUCUACCACACAAAUACUGGUAUCAACACAAAUAAAGCAAUUGUUUUAGUAACAAUAUUUGAGUACAAUUAAACUAAGCAUGCUAUUGUCCUUGACAAAUUUACAUUCUUCUAAUCGAACAAAAUCUGACCUUUAAAUAAUGAUAGAAACUGAAGAUGAAAGCAAGUUUAGCUACAACUUCAGACCGUGUUAUAUAUGAUGGAACCUAUAAAAAAAAAGAAGAGUACCUAACUAUAUAUACACAGAGGAGAUCUGAUGCUUUCUAGCACAUCAGAGGCUCAAUCAAUUUAUAUUUAAUUGAAAAACAAUCCCUAUAUUUUAAUGCAUACACAUUGAAUAGCCCCUGUUUCAAUCCAAUUUACAAAACUACCUCCAUAAAAUUACAUAAUGGGGGAAGUUCGACCGGAUGCACUGUGCUUUACCAGAACCACAUGAAAUUAUUGGAACAUAGUUCAUUCAAUUAACUUUCUAUUCAAUAAUUGAAACAAAUGGAAAGAGGAUAAUUGAAUAUUAAAUAAAGAUGGAAUUAAUUGGGAACUCACGGAGUAAUGCGAUUUGUUCGGGGGCUCACCACUGGAGUUGGAACAGAGACAAGGAUUAGAAAGGAAAGGAAGAGGAGCGUCUGAUAAUCCAGCGGAUUCUUUGAUGAGUGGAGUACUAGUAGUAGUAGUGGAGGUUCCAAGGACAUUGAAGUCAAUCCGGUGAGACUGAGGGAAUCCAGAAGGUUGAGGUUGACGAGAGUAGAAAUUGCAACCAAAAAUCGGUGACGAUGGUGGAAUCGAAAUUGCGAGGGAAGAAGAAAAAAGCAUCACAAGUCGAAGUAGAGGAGGAAUCAACACUGGAGAAAGGAGUAAGAUGAGGAGAACCUGCCAUUAAUGGAAGAGGGAGGAAGUGAGAGAGAAAGGAGAGGGAAUUAAUUAAUUAAAGAGAAUUAGGGUUUGAGAAGAGAAAGGGAAAAUGGAGUGUACGAACAAAGAAAAAGAAAGAAGAAAUGGAAAGGACGCGCUAAGAGAAGAAGAUGGAGAUGGAUCGGUUGAAAUGGGUAUGAUAGGGUUUCUUCCUUAAAGAAACGGAAAUUGAGAGAUAGGCCUUAGGGUUUUGAGAAGAGAAAGGAAAAAUGGAGUGUACGAAGAAAUGGAAAGGACGCACUAAGAGAAGAAGAUGGAGAUUGGAUCCGCGACUAAGAGAAGAAGAUGGAGAUGGAUCCGCGAAAUGGGUAUGAUAGGGUUUCUUCCUUACAGAAACGGAAAUUGAGAGAUAGGCCAAAGAAGACAAGAGAGCAAGAGAGAAGGGGGAGAAGAGGGGGAAGAGGGAGACUUGGCCGUUAGAGAAGAGGAGAAAGAAACUUUAAAUGAGAGAGACUGUACAUGUAGGGUUUUUAUUAGAAUUUUUUUUUUUUUGAAAUCUUGCUUAAUUGGAUUUAGAGAAUUUUGUGUAUUCGGUUCACCAACUCGUAUUAGCUGUCCAUUGGUCCAUUGUUU